GGGGAGCAGCAGGCGCGAAACCUUUACACUGCACGACAGUGCGAUAAGGGAAACCCAAGUGCGCCGGCAUAGAGCCUGCGCUUUUGUACACCGUAGGGAGGUGCACGAAUAAGGGCUGGGCAAGACCGGUGCCAGCCGCCGCGGUAAUACCGGCAGCCCGAGUGAUGGCCGAUCUUAUUGGGCCUAAAGCGUCCGUAGCUGGCCGCACAAGUCCAUCGGAAAAUCCACCCGCUCAACGGGUGGGCGUCCGGUGGAAACUGUGUGGCUUGGGACCGGAAGGCGCGACGGGUACGUCCGGGGUAGGAGUGAAAUCCCGUAAUCCUGGACGGACCGCCGAUGGCGAAAGCACGUCGCGAGGACGGAUCCGACAGUGAGGGACGAAAGCCAGGGUCUCGAACCGGAUUAGAUACCCGGGUAGUCCUGGCCGUAAACAAUGUCUGUUAGGUGUGGCUCCCACUACGAGUGGGUGCUGUGCCGUAGGGAAGCCGCUAAACAGACCGCCUGGGAAGUACGUCCGCAAGGAUGAAACUUAAAGGAAUUGGCGGGGGAGCAC
rnacentral:rRNA from 1 species